CCCACUUUUUAUACGCGCUGUAUUAUGUUGAUGGUUAGCAAACUAUUGUGUAUUAUAUAAGGUAUUUAUUACCAAUUGUACCGAAAUAUAGGUUAGAAUCCAAGCGUGUAAUUUAAACGUGCACCUUGAACUUUUUUUCCGUUACGAUUUGCUAUUCAGAGCGCUGUCAUAGCGUAUCAAUCAACAAUAGCACACAUUGUGGUCGUGUAGAUUGUCAACUUUCCGCUGUUUAAAAAGUGCAUUAUAAAUUUUGGACAUCAAUUUAAUAUUCUGUGGAGGAGCACUAUGGAAUCUAUCAUAAAAUGUAUCGUGAUAUAUGCAGUGUUUUUAAUUCAGAUAGUUCUUGGAACUCCAUCUUGGAGUCUUUCGUCAAAUCCAAACACAUUCGGUAAAAAUUUUGAUUUGACUUGUUCAUUUU